rnacentral:rRNA from 1 species
UACGGAGGGAGCUAGCGUUGUUCGGAAUUACUGGGCGUAAAGGGUCUGUAGGUGGCCAACUAAGUCAGACGUGAAAUCCCUCAGCUUAACUGGGGAACUGCGUCUGAUACUGGAUGGCUUGAGUGUGGGAGAGGAAUGCGGAAUUCCAGGUGUAGCGGUGAAAUGCGUAGAUAUCUGGAGGAACACCGGUGGCGAAGGCGGCAUCCUGGACCGAUACUGACGCUGAGGAGCGAAAGCCAGGGGAGCCAAAGCGGG